AGAGCACACUGCUCAUCAAGAUAACUGACAGCUUCAAUUGUUAUUUGUAAAAAUUUGACAUCCAGGCUGGGCAUCCUGCCUGCAGAAUGGCACAGGCUGAGGAUGAAUGUUACUGUGGUGGAGCUGCUUUUGGAAGAGGCUUUCUGCUUGUAGCACUGGCCCACUCGGAUUCCUCCUUUGUCUGGGAACAGAAGCCAGGCCAUUCCAGAGUCAAAGCCAGUGAGUGUGGCUGCAUUACCCUGCAGUGUGGACAAAGAGCCUUGGAUGCGUCUCACCGAGGGAUCCCGGCAAACACACGUAGACCUUACACCUAAGCUUCAAAACAGAGCCCUUUGAUCGGGAUGACCAAAUGGUGAAGGACUCUUUCCUAUUGUCCUGCUCUACUCCCACUAAGUUGGCAGGUGAUGACC